AGAUUCUUAAUCGUGGUAUUCAACGGUUUGAUGUACAGGCUGUUAUUGUUCAGCGCAAUGUCACCACUGGCGUGAACAUCAUCACCGACAAGCGGAAUAUCCAGAUGCAGCGAGCCUUUCACUGGCCCGCCAAUUUUCAGUUCAUCCAGCGCCGUACCCAACGAGGAUUUCAGCGGUGUUUGAUUAAAAUAGUUCCCCACUUCAGGCCCCGGACCUUCCAGCUCGCCAUCAAUGAGCAGCAUCUCUUUUUCAUAAUCGGGAAUGACCGCGCUAAUAUUCUUGCCUUCCACCUUGCCCAACCAGGUUUGUGGCGCAAACAUCCAUAGACCGUUGUUGGCGAAAUCCAGAUUAAUAUCCAGUGGCGUCAGCGCAGGCCAGCCCGGCUGAAACUCGAAGGUCGCCCCUUUCACCGGCACC
rnacentral:ncRNA from 1 species